rnacentral:rRNA from 1 species
ACGGCUCAGUAACACGUGGACAACUGCCUGAGGUGGGGGAUAACUCCGGGAAACUGGAGAUAAUACCCCAUAGCCUAUGAAUGCUGGAAUGCUUUGUAGGUGAAAGGUCCGCCGCCUCAGGAUGGGUCUGCGGCCGAUUAGGUAGUUGUUGGGGUAAUGGCCCAAUAAGCCUGUAAUCGGUACGGGUUGUGGGAGCAAGAGCCCGGAGAUGGAUUCUGAGACACGAAUCCAGGCCCUACGGGGCGCAGCAGGCGCGAAAACUUUACAAUGCAGGAAACUGUGAUAAGGGAACCCCGAGUGCCUGUAUGGACAGGCUGUUCAGGUGCGCAAAAAACACCUGGAGAAAGGGCCGGGCAAGACCGGUGCCAGCCGCCGCGGUAAUACCGGCGGCUCGAGUGGUGGCCACUAUUACUGGGCUUAAAGCGUCCGUAGCUGGGUAGUUAAGUCUCUGGGGAAAUCUUCCGGCUCAACCGGAAGGCGUCUCAGGGAUACUGGUUAUCUUGGGAUCGGGAGAGGUGAGAGGUACUCUGGGGGUAGGAGUGAAAUCCUGUUAUCCUCAGGGGACCACCUGUGGCGAAGGCGUCUCACCAGAACGACUCCGACAGUGAGGGACGAAAGCUGGGGGAGCAAACCGGAUUAGAUACCCGGGUAGUCCCAGCCGUAAACUAUGCGCGUUAGGUGUAUCAGUGGCCACGAGCUACUGAGGUGCCGAAGGGAAACCGUGAAACGCGCCGCCUGGGAAGUACGGUCGCAAGGCUGAAACUUAAAGGAAUUGGCGGGGGAG